CAUGUGCGUUGUUGAAUUAAAUGAAAGAAAUGAAAUUACCUCCGAGCUUUUUGUCUGUUUGAUUCCACUUGGAUGUACAAAGGGUUGCAGUGAAU